rnacentral:rRNA from 1 species
AGUAAUACCGUAUACGCCCCUCGGGGGAAAGAUUUAUCGGUGAAGGAUUAGCCCGCGUUAGAUUAGAUAGUUGGUGGGGUAAUGGCCUACCAAGUCUACGAUCUAUAGCUGGUUUGAGAGGAUGAUCAGCAACACUGGGACUGAGACACGGCCCAGACUCCUACGGGAGGCAGCAGUGGGGAAUCUUAGACAAUGGGCGCAAGCCUGAUCUAGCCAUGCCGCGUGAGUGACGAAGGCCUUAGGGUCGUAAAGCUCUUUCGCCAGAGAUGAUAAUGACAGUAUCUGGUAAAGAAACCCCGGCUAACUCCGUGCCAGCAGCCGCGGUAAUACGGAGGGGGUUAGCGUUGUUCGGAAUUACUGGGCGUAAAGCGUACGUAGGCGGAUUGGAAAGUAUGGGGUGAAAUCCCAGGGCUCAACCCUGGAACUGCCCUGUAAACUAUCAGUCUAGAGUUCGAGAGAGGUGAGUGGAAUUCCAAGUGUAGAGGUGAAAUUCGUAGAUAUUUGGAGGAACACCAGUGGCGAA